AGCGAACGCUGGCGGCAUGCUUAACACAUGCAAGUCGCACGAACCUUUCGGGGUUAGUGGCGGACGGGUGAGUAACGCGUAGGAAUCUAUCCACGGGUGGGGGAUAACUCUGGGAAACUGGAGCUAAUACCGCAUGAUACCUGAGGGUCAAAGGCGCAAGUCGCCUGUGGAGGAGCAUGCGUUCGAUUAGCUAGUUGGUGGGGUAAAGGCCUACCAAGGCGAUGAUCGAUAGCUGGUUUGAGAGGAUGAUCAGCCACACGGGGACUGAGACACGGCCCAGAAUCCUACGAGAGGCAGCAGUGGGGAAUAUUGGACAAUGGGGGCAACCCUGAUCCAGCAAUGCCGCGUGUGUGAAGAAGGUCUUCGGAUUGUAAAGCACUUUCGACGGGGACGAUGAUGACGGUACCCGUAGAAGAAGCCCCGGCUAACUUCGUGCCAGCCGCCGCGGUAA
rnacentral:rRNA from 1 species